rnacentral:rRNA from 1 species
CCUACGGGCGGCUGCAGUGGGGGAUAUUGCACAAUGGGGGAAACCCUGAUGCAGCGACGCCGCGUGUGGGAAGACGGUCCUCUGGAUUGUAAACCACUUCCCCCAGGGACGAAGAUGACGGUACCUGGGGAGGAAGCUCCGGCUAACUACGUGCCAGCAGCCGCGGUAAUACGUAGGGAGCGAGCGUGGUCCGGAAUUACUGGGGGUAAGGGGAGCGUAGGCGGGACUGCAAGUAGGGGGUAAAAUCUACCGGCUCAACCGGUAGCCGCACUCAAAACUGCAGUUCUUGAGUGAAGUAGAGGCAGGCGGAAUUCCUAGUGUAGCGGUGAAAUGCGUAGAUAUUAGGAGGAACACCAGUGGCGAAGGCGGCCUGCUGGGCUUUUACUGACGCUGAGGCUCGAAAGUGUGGGGAGCAAACAGGAUUAGAUACCCUAGUAGUC